CUACAGGCAUUGCGCAUGAGCGUCCAGUAACGUGGCAAAAAAAUUCCCAGCUCCCCAGAGGCUGUCCUAGCACCCCGGUCAUACAAAUAUUCAUUAACGUUUUUUUCUUGUUGGAGCAGGCGGUCGAACAUUAGGAGUGUUGAAUUCCAACGUGUCAGGCUGUCGCAAAUCAAGCGCCUCAAUGGCAUGUUGUUUCGCCGCUGGAUAUCGGCAAAGUGUGCCAUGGCCGUGUAGGAACGCCUGAAAUGGC